rnacentral:rRNA from 1 species
GACGAACGCUGGCGGCGUGCUUAACACAUGCAAGUCGAACGGAAAGGCCCUGCUUUUGUGGGGUGCUCGAGUGGCGAACGGGUGAGUAACACGUGAGUAACCUGCCCUUGACUUUGGGAUAACUUCAGGAAACUGGGGCUAAUACCGGAUAGGAGCUCCUGCUGCAUGGUGGGGGUUGGAAAGUUUCGGCGGUUGGGGAUGGACUCGCGGCUUAUCAGCUUGUUGGUGGGGUAGUGGCUUACCAAGGCUUUGACGGGUAGCCGGCCUGAGAGGGUGACCGGGCAAAAUGGGAAUGAGGUACGGGCCAGAAUCCUAAGGGAGGCAGGAGGGGGGAAUAUUGCAAAAAGGGGGGAAGGCUGAAGCAGGAAAGCCGCGGGGGGGAAGAAGGGCUUCGGGGUGGAAACCGGUUUUGCCUGGGAAGAAGCGGGAGGGAAGGGAAUGGGUAAAGAAGCACCGGCUAACUACGUG